AAUCCGUGAUGAGCGCAUUUGGUUUGAUAACCCUUAAAGUGCUCCCAAGCUUCACAGAAGCUUUCAUUUUGCUUCUGAGUGAAUCCAGAUAUCUCAUUAUGGAGUAGU